rnacentral:misc_RNA from 1 species
UUUUUCAAAUUGACCUGAUAU